rnacentral:tRNA from 1 species
GGGGCUGUAGCUCAGUUGGCUAGAGCGCUUGCAUGGCAUGCAAGAGGUCAGGGGUUCGAUUCCCCUCAGCUCCA